UAUCAAUCUUCACACUGUCCUCUCACUUUUUAUUGAAACACUGCCAUGAGCAGGAGUUCUUGCAGUAGCAUAAAAUCCUGAGUAAUUCUUCGGAUGCUCGAACCCAAAAAAAAAAAACGAAUAAAAAUGAAGUGGAAUCGCUUAUUUGCCUCCGAUAAGAAGCAGUCCGCUUCUUCAGGAAACGGUGUCAUUCAGUUAACAAAGAAGAAGCCAUGCUGCAGCAAAUGCGCAACGCUUUGCAAGUGCAAACGCCACCGUAGAACGUUGCGACUGCUUCCGGUGGGACAACUGAUGGGCGGAAUUCUACCCUAAAUGAUGUCUUUUUUGAACUAAAUAAAGUGUGAUUCGCAGUAGAA